AACGUAGGAGACAAACGUUAUCCGGAGUUACUGGGCGUAAAGGGCGUGUAGGCGGUUUGUUAAGUCUGGCGUGAAAGCUCUCGGCUAAACCGGGAGAGGUCGUUGGAUACUGGCAAACUAGAGGACGGUAGAGGCGUGUGGAAUUCCGGGUGUAGUGGUGAAAUGCGUAGAGAUCCGGAAGAAUACCGGUGGCGAAGGCGGCCUGACUCG
rnacentral:rRNA from 1 species